UGCCAGCCGCCGCGGUAAUACGGAGGGUGCAAGCGUUAAUCGGAAUUACUGGGCGUAAAGCGCACGUAGGUGGUUUGCUAAGUCAGCUGUGAAAUCCCCGGGCUCAACCUGGGCACUGCAGUUGAAACUGGCAAGCUAGAGUAGGGUAGAGGGGUGUGGAAUUCCAGGUGUAGCGGUGAAAUGCGUAGAUAUCUGGAGGAACAUCAGUGGCGAAGGCGACACCCUGGACUCAUACUGACACUGAGGUGCGAAAGCGUGGGGAGCAAACAGGAUUAGAUA
rnacentral:rRNA from 1 species